GAUGAACGCUGGCGGCGUGCCUAAUACAUGCAAGUCGAGCGAACGGACGAGAAGCUUGCUUCUCUGAUGUUAGCGGCGGACGGGUGAGUAACACGUGGAUGACCUACCUAUAAGACUGGGAUCACUUCGGGAAACCGGAGCUAAUACCGGAUAAUAUUUUGAACCGCAUGGUUCAAAAGUGAAAGACGGUGUUGCUGUCACUUAUAGCUGGAUCCGCGCUGCAUUAGCUAGUUGGUAAGGUCACGGCUUACCAAGGCAACGAUGCAUAGCCGACCUGAGAGGGUGAUCGGCGGCACGGGAGCUGAGACGCGGACCAGAGGCCUGCGGGAGGCAGCAGUAGGGAAUCUGCGGCAAUAGGCGAAAGCCUGACGGAGCAACGCCGCGUGAGUGAUGAAGGUCUUCGGAUCGUAAAGCUCUGUUAUUAGGGAAGAACAUAUGUGUAAGUAAAUGUGCAGAGCGUGACGGUACCGAAUCAGAAAGCCACGGCUAACUACGUG
rnacentral:rRNA from 1 species